CUGGGAUAUGUACCCAGGUUACAUGACUCUCCUGCCUGUGCCCUGUCCACAAAUUAUGAAAUAUUACUGGGUCCAACACCCAGGGAUGUAACUCUCAUGCCUAGGCCCUGCCAACAGGGGGCAUUAUGACAAAUCUGUGUGCCAAUAACCCAGGUAAUGUGACUCUCUUUUUUUGCAUGGUCCCUGCUCACAGGGGGCAUUAUGACAUAUUGCUGAACUCAGCAUCUAACUGAUGUGAUUCUCCUUUCUACUUUUUGCCCACAGUGGAGAUUGUGACAUAUCACUGGGCCUCAAACUAAUGUGAUGUUACACUUUCAUUUUUGAACUGAACUCAGAAGGCACUGUGACAUAUUCCUGGGAACAGCACCAAGGUUAUCCCACUGUUGAGGUCCUGAAUCUCCCACCCAGAGGCAGUGGAAAGUUGGAGAAUUAACUCUCAUGCGUGGAUCUGAUACAUAGCCACAGGUGGGAGAGUGACCCUUAUUUGAACCCAACUAAGAGACACAGUCAUGACUUUCAUACCUGGACCCAGCCAAUAUGAGAGGUGUUGACUCUCAUACCUGGACUUAGGAAAAGAGGUAGAUGAUGACUCUAGGAUCAGGGUUCAUCACACAGGCCAUGCCAGUUGAGGGGGAUUGUGACAUAUCUUUGGACCAGCACAAGGGAAAUUGAAAACUCCUGCCUAGGCCAUUCCCAUAGAAGGCAUUGUGACAUACCACUGGUCACAGCACACAGGUGAGAAUUUUACAUAAAACUGCACCCAGCACACAGGUGAAAUUGUGAUUCUUGGAUGCUCAUCCAGCCAACAGUUAUGAGUGUCAUCAUCGCACAUGGACAGAGAACUCUGGUGAGGUCCUGAAUCUUGUACACGGACAUAGUCCACAGUUGGAAUUUUGACUGUCAUGUGUAGAUCCAGCCACAGGUGUGAUGUUGACCUGUUUAUGGAGUUAGCUCACAGGCACAGUGAGAACUCUCAUAUCUCGACCCAGUCAAUAAAAGAGCUGCUGACUUUUAU